UAUACCAAUGUUAACAUUAUCAUUUAAGUGAUACUAUUUCUUCACUCACAAUAUACUCAAUUAUUUUUAUUAAAAUAUGUGUCAUCUCCUUCUAAGAUUACAUACAUUUAAUUAUUUUUAUUAAACUCGUGUCGUCUCUCUUUUAAGACUAUUUUUUAUGAAUGGAGGGAAUAACUUAGAAUUAAAACACUUAAUAAAACUAUAACAAAAUGAAAUUUGAAUACAUAAUAAGACAUUAAAAAUGGGACAUAUAAAAUUCGAAGUGGGGUUGCCUCAAGUUUACAAAUUGCAAAGUGCUGAAACUCGCGUAGUACGGAAAAUAAAGUGUAAAUUUAAAUACAUCGAAAUAUGUGACCAUAUGUGCCAAUAAUUUGCUAAGUGGUAUUAAAUAAUUAGGUGAAAUGAUGUGGAAUGAUAUUGAUAUUGCAACCACUUAUAAAAUGUGGGUAGAAGUAAAAAUGAAUAAAUGAUCUUUGAUCUGGUUGGCUUUUUCUCGGAGGGCAGAAUAUGUUGCUAAUGGAGUAUUUGAUUUUCCAACUUAUUGAGUGCACAAAUAAUAAAGUUCACUCAAAAGUUAAAACAUAGGGAAUCAAAAUUAGUUGGACGAGACCUAUAACUCAAUAGCCAUAUAGGGUAAGAAGGGGUUGGCCUACCACCUUUGUCACCUUCUCUUUCAAGUUCAUGCAUCAAAUUUGCUAUCGGAAACCAUGGACCACCACUCCUCCAUACCAGCCGCUCCUGUUCCCUUACCUUUGUGUAAAAGUAACACUGUCCCUCUCACUCUCUACACUCACACACAAUGUGGUAAAACAACAAAAGAAAAGAAUGCAAGUAUGAAGUAAUAAUAACAUCAGCGGCUUUGUUGUACUUUGUGAUGCACCUAAGUGGGGCGUUAGAGAAAAGGAGGGUUUUUUUUUGAAGAAAAAAUAUUAUUCAAAAGAAAUAAAAUUUUCCAUUUUUCAAAAAGAAUUCAUAACGACUCUCUAAUUUUUACUUGCGGUGAAUCGGAGCUCCUUUGAAAAAUAAAUUUAUUUUUUCGAAAUUUCUUAUAAAUUAAAUUGCACUUUAUUAUGAAUCAUGGGCAUAUUAGUUGGAAUUCCGAUAUAUUAGUCGGAGGAAAAGCGGACAGGAAAGAGAGAGUAAUACAAAGAAUAAUUCACAGACUCACCUUAAGCCACAUGGGGUGGGAAGUUUGAGCACGUGUCCGUAGCUUACACGGCAAGCUCUGUACCUUCCGUUGGGUUGGAGUUGUACCACACUACUUAAUUCACCUUCCACGAACCGCAGCCAAAUUUCAAAAGUACUGUGUGUGUUUGUGUGUGGUAGUUUUUUUUACUCAAAAGUAAAACAAAUAAGGGAAGUGAGAGAGAGAGAAUAAAUCAGUUUGUGGGAGCCAUACAAAUGGGUUGGUGAAAUUGGAAAAGUAACUGCAUUUACAGUUAUAUGGUAAAAUCUAUGAAUAGUAGCGUCACAAGCACCAGAGAAUCGCAGUCAAGAAAUAACUGCAAAUAUGGAAAGAAAAAAUUGAUGGAACAAACAAGGAUGAUAGAAACUGAAUGAAAGAGCAUUUAUUGAAGUGGGUGAUUCUUCAAAUUUUUCCUCAAAAGAGAUUGAAUUUCCAUUCGACUGCAGCAGAGAGAAGCUUCUUCUCACAUGACUAAACAACUUAGCUUAUAAUUACUGAGAAAAAAAAACUAUCUUUUUAAUACUUCUUAUCUACGGUAAAGAUAGAGAGAGAGAACAGCUAGCUGUACAUCUCUAGUGAUGAACAAGAAAUUAAGUAAACCUUGAGAUUCAAAUUAGUGGAAGAAGACCAUGAGUUUCGUCACUGAAUUUGAUGAUUACUUGAUUGAUUGAUGAGUGGAACAAUUAGCCAAUUGUGAAUAUUGUGUUGGUUAUUCUGGCCUCAGUUGAACAUGAACCCAAUCGUACCGCCCUUCCAGUGGCUGGUCCUUCACUAUGUCAAAGUUGUACCUACAUGAUCCGUACGUAUGAGAUUGUCGAAUAUGCGCAAUUGAUGAUGAGGCUUAUAGAGAGAGAGAAAGCGUCGACUAUGAACGAUUGAUGAUGUUCUUGUAGAGAGAGAGAGAGAGAGAGAGAGUUACUUGUCAAUGAAUUUUUGCUGGAGUUUCUUCUCAGCCGCGGCGAAGAAUUCCUCGAGUUGAGCCUCAGAUGGCAUUUUCACCCCUGCAGAAAGACGGCGAGGAUCCGGUUCACGUGGCCUCGCCGUCGACUCCAGCUCGCCCGACUCACCUAGAGCUUCUCUCGACGGCGUCGUUUCACUUCUGAGAAAAUAGGAACUUGUCAAUCUUCAAAGUACGCCCAGCAUUUAUCGCAUGCCAAUAUGAAGAUAGAGAGAGAGGAUUUCUAGAAUCCAGCGGAAGCGGAAUAGAUAAAAUGAUGAUACAACUAGAAAACGAUGCCGUUGAGGACAAGUGUUCCACUACUUGGGGAUUUUCAAAUUUUUGAAUUGAAGAAACGUGUCGGAGAAGAAUUAUCACAUUUAAAUUUUUGAGCAAGGCAAAAAAGGGAGAGAGAGAAGAAGAAUUCACCUCUCUCUGCAAUCCAACGAAUCAUCAGCCGACGUCGUGAGAAACUCCACAGUCGUCUCAUUGUCCUAUAAAAACGGAAUUCAAAAUUCAAAUAUCGGAUCAUGAACAAUUAAAGCGAUAUUAAUUCCGGUAUCCGUAACUUCCAUCAGAAAUUGAAUAGCGUGACACUAGAAUCAUAGAAAUUAAAUUCCACUCAGCCUUAAAUAUAUACAUAUAUAUAUAAAUACCUCCAGAUCUAGGAGUUUCGAAGUUUCCUUAGUCAGCUCGCUGGAUCCGUCACUUGAGCAACAAGAUGCCAAGCCAUCAUCAGCUCCGACUGUCUCGCAAGAUAGACCUCCAGAAUUCGCCGGCGAAGCUGAAUUUUCCGCCGUCGCGUCAUCUAAACGCCGAGCCUUCAGCUGAAUUGACGACGCCGAAAACUCCGAUUCUCCUGCGUAAACUUUCCUCUUUCUCUCCCCCGCCGCCGCCGCCUUUUCCAUAACUGAUCUCUCCACCAAUUCCUUGCAGUUUCGGUUCUAAAAAUAAAAUAAAAUAAAA